CCUACGGGCGGCAGCAGUAGGGAAUCUUCCACAAUGGGCGAAAGCCUGAUGGAGCAACGCCGCGUGGGUGAAGAAGGUCUUCGGAUCGUAAAACCCUGUUGUUAGAGAAGAAAGUGCGUGAGCGUAACUGUUCACGUUUCGACGGUAUCUAACCAGCAAGCCACGGCUAACUACGUGCCAGCAGCCGCGGUAAUACGUAGGGGGCAAGCGUUAUCCGGAUUUGUUGGGCGUAAAGGGAACGCAGGCGGUCUUGUAAGUCUGAUGUGAAAGCCUUCGGCUUAACCGGAGUAGUGCAUUGGAAACUGUGAGACUUGAGUGCAGAAGAGGAGAGUGGAACUCCAUGUGUAGCGGUGAAAUGCGUAGAUAUAUGGAAGAACACCAGUGGCGAAAGCGGCUCUCUGGUCUGUAACUGACGCUGAGGUUCGAAAGCGUGGGUAGCAAACAGGAUUAGAUACCCGAGUAGUC
rnacentral:rRNA from 1 species